rnacentral:rRNA from 1 species
UACGUAGGGUGCGAGCGUUGUCCGGAAUUACUGGGCGUAAAGAGCUCGUAGGUGGUUUGUCGCGUUGUCCGUGAAAACUCACAACUCAAUUGUGGGCGUGCGGGCGAUACGGGCAGACUGGAGUACUGCAGGGGAGACUGGAAUUCCUGGUGUAGCGGUGGAAUGCGCAGAUAUCAGGAGGAACACCGGUGGCGAAGGCGGGUCUCUGGGCAACAACUGACGCUGAGGAGCGAAAGCGUGGGGGAGCGA